rnacentral:rRNA from 1 species
CGGGAAUAUUGCGCAAUGGAGGAAACUCUGACGCAGUGACGCCGCGUAUAGGAAGAAGGCUUUCGGAUUGUAAACUAUUGUCGUUAGGGAAGAGAAAGGACAGUACCUAAGGAGGAAGCUCCGGCUAACUACGUGCCAGCAGCCGCGGUAAUACGUAGGGAGCGAGCGUUAUCCGGAAUUAUUGGGUGUAAAGGGUGCGUAGACGGGAAGAUAAGUUAGUUGUGAAAUCCCUCGGCUUAACUGAGGAACUGCAACUAAAACUGUUUUUCUUGAGUGCAGGAGAGGUAAGUGGAAUUCCUAGUGUAGCGGUGAAAUGCGUAGAUAUUAGGAGGAACACCAGUGGCGAAGGCGACUUACUGGACUGUAACUGACGUUGAGGCACGAAAGUGUGGGGAGCAAAC